CUCAUAGACAGUAGCAUGGCAGGCUCCUUGGCCCUUCAUAUCAGGGGGGCAAAGUGUUGGAGCUUCAGCAACAAUCCUUCCAAUGACCAGUCCAUAGAGUACAUUGAUGAUAAUAGGCGUCACUAAUAGCAUGAGAAAAAUGAACUAAUCAUUAAUGGAACUAAUGAAGGAAAGUGUUCUCCUGUCCAGACCUUCUUGUACAACCAAAGGACUGGAGCUGGUAUUUAUCUUUUCCUCUCAAGCCUCAUGGCUUAGCAGAUUUUAGGCUUCAUUGAUCUAAGUAUUCUGGGCAGAGACAACUUUAAAAAUAUUUAACAGCAUUUUGAUAAAGCACUGGCUGUUCCAGACUGGGCACUGACCACUCAAAGGAGAUGCCAGCUACCUCCAACUGCUACAGGAACUUGGAUGCAUCCCGCUGAUUGAUUUGCUUAGUGAACAAUAUACUGUAUUUGAGAAGAACUAGCUCCAAACACAACACAAAAUAAACAUUAAUAUAUCAUUUGCUAAAAUGCAAAA